rnacentral:rRNA from 1 species
CAUGUCUAAGUACAUGCCGUAUUAAGGCGAAACCGCGAAUGGCUCAUUAAAUCAGUUAUGGUUCCUUGGAUCGUACCCCACUACUUGGAUAACUGUGGCAAUUCUAGAGCUAAUACAUGCAGCAGAGCUCCGACCUUCGGGGACGAGCGCUUUUAUUAGACCAAGACCAAUCGGGCCUCGCGUCCGCUCUUUGUGGUGACUCUGUAUAACUUUGGGCUGAUCGCACGGGCUCGUCCCGGCGACGUAUCUUUCAAGUGUCUGCCUUAUCAACUGUCGAUGGUAGGUUACGCGCCUACCAUGGUCGUAACGGGUGACGGGGAAUCAGGGUUCGAUUCCGGAGAGGGAGCCUGAGAAACGGCUACCACAUCCAAGGAAGGCAGCAGGCGCGCAAAUUACCCACUCCCGGCACGGGGAGGUAGUGACGAAAAAUAACAAUACGGGACUCUUUUGAGACCCCGUAAUUGGAAUGAGCACACUCUAAAUCCUUUAACGAGGAUCCAUUGGAGGGCAAGUCUGGUGCCAGCAGCCGCGGUAAUUCCAGCUCCAAUAGCGUAUAUUAAAGUUGUUGCGGUUAAAAAGCUCGUAGUUGGAUCUCAGUUCCAGACGGCCGGUCCGCCUACCGGUGGUCACUGGCCGUUCUGAACAGCAGUGCCGGCUGCGCUUGAUGAUCUUCACCGGUUGUCUCGGGUGGCCGGCGAGUUUACUUUGAAAAAAUUAGAGUGCUCAAAGCAGGCGUGACGCCUGGAUAAUGGUGCAUGGAAUAAUAGAAUAGGACCUCGGUUCUAUUUUGUUGGUCUUCGGGACACGAGGUAAUGAUUAAGAGGGACAGACGGGGGCAUUCGUAUUGCGACGCUAGAGGUGAAAUUCUUGGACCGUCGCAAGACGAACUACUGCGAAAGCAUUUGCCAAGAAUGUUUCCAUUAAUCAAGAACGAAAGUUAGAGGUUCGAAGGCGAUCAGAUACCGCCCUAGUUCUAACCAUAAACGAUGCCAGCCAGCGAUCCGGCUGUGUUCCUCAAAUGACACGCCGGGCAGCUUCCGGGAAACCAAAGCUUUUGGGUUCCGGGGGAAGUAUGGUUGCAAAGCUAAAACUUAAAGGAAUUGACGGAAGGGCACCACCAGGAUUGGAGCCUGCGGCUUAAUUUGACUCAACACGGGACAGCCUACCCGGCCCGGACACAGGAAGGAUUGACAGAUUAAGAGCUCUUUCU